GACGUAGGGCGCGAGCGUUGUCCGGAUUUAUUGGGCGUAAAGAGCUCGUAGGCGGCUUGUCGCGUCGACUGUGAAAACCCGCGGCUCAACUGUGGGCGUGCAGUCGAUACGGGCAGGCUGGAGUUCGGUAGGCGAGUGGAAUUCCUGGUGUAGCGGUGAAAUGCGCAGAUAUCAGGAGGAACACCAAUGGCGAAGGCAGCUCGCUGGGACGGUAUUGACGCUGAGACGCGAAAGCGUGGGGAGCAAACAGG
rnacentral:rRNA from 1 species